rnacentral:rRNA from 2 species
GCCAACGAGUGGCGGACGGGUGAGUAACACGUAGGUAACCUGCCCAGAAGCGGGGGACAACAUUUGGAAACAGAUGCUAAUACCGCAUAACAGCGUUGUUCGCAUGAACAACGCUUAAAAGAUGGCUUCUCGCUAUCACUUCUGGAUGGACCUGCGGUGCAUUAGCUUGUUGGUGGGGUAACGGCCUACCAAGGCGAUGAUGCAUAGCCGAGUUGAGAGACUGAUCGGCCACAAUGGGACUGAGACACGGCCCAUACUCCUACGGGAGGCAGCAGUAGGGAAUCUUCCACAAUGGGCGCAAGCCUGAUGGAGCAACACCGCGUGAGUGAAGAAGGGUUUCGGCUCGUAAAGCUCUGUUGUUAAAGAAGAACACGUAUGAGAGUAACUGUUCAUACGUUGACGGUAUUUAACCAGAAAGUCACGGCUAACUACGUGCCAGCAGCCGCGGUAAUACGUAGGUGGCAAGCGUUAUCCGGAUUUAUUGGGCGUAAAGAGAGUGCAGGCGGUUUUCUAAGUCUGAUGUGAAAGCCUUCGGCUUAACCGGAGAAGUGCAUCGGAAACUGGAUAACUUGAGUGCAGAAGAGGGUAGUGGAACUCCAUGUGUAGCGGUGGAAUGCGUAGAUAUAUGGAAGAACACCAGUGGCGAAGGCGGCUACCUGGUCUGCAACUGACGCUGAGACUCGAAAGCAUGGGUAGCGAACAGGAUUAGAUACCCUGGUAGUCCAUGCCGUAAACGAUGAGUGCUAGGUGUUGGAGGGUUUCCGCCCUUCAGUGCCGGAGCUAACGCAUUAAGCACUCCGCCUGGGGAGUACGACCGCAAGGUUGAAACUCAAAGGAAUUGACGGGGGCCCGCACAAGCGGUGGAGCAUGUGGUUUAAUUCGAAGCUACGCGAAGAACCUUACCAGGUCUUGACAUCUUGCGCCAACCCUAGAGAUAGGGCGUUUCCUUCGGGAACGCAAUGACAGGUGGUGCAUGGUCGUCGUCAGCUCGUGUCGUGAGAUGUUGGGUUAAGUCCCGCAACGAGCGCAACCCUUGUUACUAGUUGCCAGCAUUAAGUUGGGCACUCUAGUGAGACUGCCGGUGACAAACCGGAGGAAGGUGGGGACGACGUCAGAUCAUCAUGCCCCUUAUGACCUGGGCUACACACGUGCUACAAUGGACGGUACAACGAGUCGCGAACUCGCGAGGGCAAGCAAAUCUCUUAAAACCGUUCUCAGUUCGGACUGCAGGCUGCAACUCGCCUGCACGAAGUCGGAAUCGCUAGUAAUCGCGGAUCAGCAUGCCGCGGUGAAUACGUUCCCGGGCCUUGUACACA